rnacentral:rRNA from 1 species
UACGGAGGGUGCGAGCGUUGUUCGGAAUCACUGGGCGUAAAGGGCGUGUAGGCGGUCCGCUAAGUCUGAUGUGAAAGCCCACGGCUCAACCGUGGAGGGUCAUUGGAAACUGGGGGACUUGAGUACAGAAGAGAAGAGUGGAAUUCCACGUGGUAGCGGUGGAAAUGCGUAGAGAUGUGGAGGAACACCAGUGGCGAAGGCGACUCUUUGGUCUGUAACUGACGCUGAGGCGCGAAAGCGUGGGGAGCAAACAGG